AUUAGAUACCCUGGGUAGUCCACGCGGUAAACGAUGACUGCUAGGUGUCGGGGGGCAGGGGCCCCCCGGUGCCGGAGCAAACGCAUUAAGCAGUCCACCUGGGGAGUACGUUCGCAAGAAUGAAACUCAAAGGAAUUGACGGGGGCCCGCACAAGCGGAGGAACAUGUGGUUUAAUUCGAUGAUACGCGAGGAACCUUACCCGGGCUCAAACGUCGCAGGACGGACCUUGAAAGAGGCCCUUCCUUCGGGACCUGCGACGAGGUGCUGCAUGGUUGUCGUCAGCUCGUGCCGUGAGGUGUCGGCUUAAGUGCCAUAACGAGCGCAACCCCUACCGACAGUUGCUAACAGUCAAAGCUGAGGACUCUGUCGGGACUGCCGGCGCAAGCUGCGAGGAAGGCGGGGAUGACGUCAAAUCAUCAUGCCCCUUAUGUCCAGGGCUACACACGUGCUACAAUGGCGUAAACAGAGGGAAGCGAGCCCGCGAGGGGGAGCGAAUCCCAAAAAUAACGUCCCAGUUCGGAUUGUAGUCUGCAACCCGACUACAUGAAGCUGGAAUCGCUAGUAAUCGCGGAUCAGAAUGCCGCGGUGAAUACGUUCCCGGGUCUUGUACACACCGCCCGUCACACCAUGGGAGUCGGAAAUGCCCGAAGUCUGUGACCCAACCGCAAGGAGGGAGCAGCCGAAGGCAGGUCGGAUGACUGGGGUGAAGUCGUAACAAGGUAAC
rnacentral:rRNA from 1 species